rnacentral:rRNA from 1 species
GAUGAACGCUGGCGGCGUGCCUCAAACAUGCAAGUCGAGCGGGGCUAUGUAAUAUCGCAAGGUAGAACAUAGCCUAGCGGCGAACGGGUGAGUAACACGUGGGUAACCUGCCUGGAAGACAGGGAUAACGAUUCGAAAGGGUCGCUAAUACCUGAUAAUAUCCUUUCAUCGCAUGGUGAUAGGAAGAAAGGGAAACCCGCUUUCAGAUGGGCCCGCGUCCCAUCAGCUAGUUGGUAAGGUAAAGGCUUACCAAGGCGACGACGGGUAGCCGGUCUGAGAGGAUGUACGGCCACACUGGGACUGAGAUACGGCCCAGACUCCUACGGGAGGCAGCAGUUGGGAAUCUUAGGCAAUGGACGAAAGUCUGACCUAGCGACGCCGCGUGAGGGAAGAAGGCCUUCGGGUUGUAAACCUCUGUCAUGGGGGAAGAAGUAAGUGACGGUACCCCAAGAGGAAGCCCCUGCUAACUACGUG